UUGAAGAAAGGAAUCAGAGCUGAAGAGCAU
rnacentral:piRNA from 1 species